CAUCCUGCGAACUUUCUAGAGAUAGAUUGGUGCCUUCGGGAACGCAGUGACAGGUGCUGCAUGGCUGUCGUCAGCUCGUGUCGUGAGAUGUUGGGUUAAGUCCCGCAACGAGCGCAACCCUUGUCCUUAGUUACCAGCACGUUAUGGUGGGCACUCUAGGGAGACUGCCGGUGACAAACCGGAGGAGGGUGGGGACGACGUCAAGUCAUCAUGGCCCUUACGGCCGGGGCUACACACGUGCUACAAUGGUGCAUACAGACGGUUGCCAAGCCGCGAGGUGGAGCUAAUCUGAGAAAGUGCAUCGUAGUCCGGAUUGGAGUCUGCAACUCGACUCCAUGGAGUCGGAAUCGCUAGUAAUCGUGAAUCAGAAUGUCACGGUGAAUACGUUCCCGGGCCUUGUACACACCGCCCGUCACACCAUGGGAGUGGGUUGCUCCAGAAGUGGCUAGUCUAACUGCUUGCAGAGGACGGUCACCACGGAGUGAUUCAUGACUGGGGUG
rnacentral:rRNA from 1 species